rnacentral:ncRNA from 1 species
UUACGAAAAAGGCACACUUACUGAAAGGUAGGGUCGCAAAGUUAUGAGUCUACGGCAUAGUAAUAUGCUAAGAUUGUCAGACUACCGAA